rnacentral:rRNA from 1 species
ACGUACACUCCUACGGGAGGCAGCAGUGGGGAAUAUUGCACAAUGGGCGCAAGCCUGAUGCAGCCAUGCCGCGUGUAUGAAGAAGGCCUUCGGGUUGUAAAGUACUUUCAGCGGGGAGGAAGGCAAUACGGUUAAUAACCGUGUUGAUUGACGUUACCCGCAGAAGAAGCACCGGCUAACUCCGUGCCAGCAGCCGCGGUAAUACGGAGGGUGCAAGCGUUAAUCGGAAUUACUGGGCGUAAAGCGCACGCAGGCGGUCUGUCAAGUCGGAUGUGAAAUCCCCGGGCUCAACCUGGGAACUGCAUUCGAAACUGGCAGGCUUGAGUCUUGUAGAGGGGGGUAGAAUUCCAGGUGUAGCGGUGAAAUGCGUAGAGAUCUGGAGGAAUACCGGUGGCGAAGGCGGCCCCCUGGACAAAGACUGACGCUCAGGUGCGAAAGCGUGGGGAGCAAACAGGAUUAGAUACCCCAGUAGUCCCAUG